UAAUAUGAUCAGUGCGUGAACUGGUGACAAAAUAUUAUCGCCCCUGUAAACAGUGGGCUCUUCUGACUAGAGGUAAUCGGUAAAGAAUAGCGGAAAAUGGUGUACAUUGUUUACGAGCUUGAAAUGAGCUAACACAGACGAACUGAGACGUGUCAACGUAAUCUGAAUAUGAUAAUGCACCAGCGAUGGUGUGUAUGGAAGGAAGACUGUCAUAAAACCCAACAGUUCCGGAUGGCCCUUUAAAUAAUUGCUUAACAUCAAUAGCGAUGUAAGAUUCAAGUGUUUGAUUUAGCACAAGUUUAGCCAGGUUUUCCUUGUAAUUGUGGCAGAAAAACCACUAGACAGUGUCAUGCAUUGAAAGGAUAUCAAACGGAUAUUUUAUGGAAUGAUUCUCAUACAUAUAAAAUCAUAUGCAUAGGAAUGUGGAGCUAGUGUCUUUCAUGCAGCAAUUUUUAAUUUCCAAUAUAAACUCUGAAAAGACAAGAGCAUAGAAAUGUAUACCAAUGAGAAACAUUCUUUGUGAAUAAAAUCAUUCCAAAACUUAAA